UACGUAGGGGGCUAGCGUUGUCCGGAAUCAUUGGGCGUAAAGAGCGUGUAGGCGGUCCGGUAAGUCCGCUGUGAAAGUCGGGGGCUCAACCCUCGAAUGCCGGUGGAUACUGUCGGGCUAGAGUGCGGAAGAGGAGUGUGGAAUUCCUGGUGUAGCGGUGAAAUGCGCAGAUAUCAGGAGGAACACCAAUGGCGAAGGCAGCACUCUGGGACGUGACUGACGCUGAGACGCGAAAGCGUGGGGAGCAAACAGG
rnacentral:rRNA from 1 species